rnacentral:rRNA from 1 species
GAUGAACGCUGGCGGCGUGCCUAACACAUGCAAGUCGAACGGACAUUUUUUGGAAAGUUCUUCGGAACCGGAAUCUAAAUGUUAGUGGCGGACGGGUGAGUAACGCGUGAGCAAUCUGCCUUUCAGAGGGGGAUAACAACGGGAAACCGUUGCUAAUACCGCGUACGAUAUGCUUUCGGCAUCGAGAGUAUAUGAAAGGUGGCCUCUAUAUAUAAGCUAUCGCUGAAGGAGGGGAUUGCGUCUGAUUAGCUAGUUGGAGGGGUAACGGCCCACCAAGGCGAUGAUCAGUAGCCGGUCUGAGAGGAUGAACGGCCACAUUGGGACUGAGACACGGCCCAA